AUGGGCUGCAUUUGCUCAAGAGAUUCCUCAGGACCAGAAGAUAGCAGUCAGAAAGAGUCUAGAACGGGAAAAGAUGUGAACAAAUCAUCAGUUCAAUUGGUUGCUCCUUCUCCCUCUAAAGGAGAGGAUUUGUUGUCAGAGAUUAAGUUGUCAAGGCAGGCAUCUAAAGCAAAUGGAGGUUCUGUUCAUCAAACAAAGGCCAAUGGAGGUUCUGUUCAUAAAACAAAGGCCAAUGGAGGGUCUGUCCAUCGAGCAAGGGAGGACGAUGAAUCCAUUAAGCCUGCAAAAGCAAAAGCAGAUAAUACUUCGGCAGCUGGAAGAAAGCCCGACAUUUUUAGGUUAGCUAGCUUGUCUAAAGUUGCAGAAGCUGAAUAUGUGAUGGCUGGAUGGCCUUCAUGGUUAGCUUCUGUUGCUGGAGAAGCCAUUAAAGGGUGGGUUCCCCGCCGGAUUGACUCCUUUGAGAAGUUAGAAAAAAUUGGACAGGGAACUUACAGCAGUGUAUAUAAAGCCCGAGACCUUGAAACUGGAAAAACCGUGGCAUUGAAAAAAGUGAGAUUUGUAAAUAUGGAUCGAGAAAGUGUCCGUUUUAUGGCCAGGGAAAUCUAUAUUUUGCGUAAACUUGAUCAUCCAAAUGUUAUGAAGCUUGAGGGUUUAGUUACUUCCAAAAUGUCGGGUAGCUUGCACCUUGUUUUCGAGUACAUGGACCAUGACCUUGCAGGCCUUGCUGCAGCUCCUGGACAUAAGUUUUCUGAGGCUCAGAUUAAAUGUUAUGUGCAACAAUUGAUGCAAGGACUCGAACACUGUCAUAGUCGAGGAAUUCUGCACCGAGAUAUCAAAGGUUCAAAUCUUCUCAUUGACGAUAAUGGUGUGCUCAAGAUUGGAGACUUUGGUCUAGCUACCUGUUUUCAACCCGAUCAAAAGCAGCCAUUGACGAGUCGGGUGGUGACAUUGUGGUACAGGGCACCUGAGCUUUUGCUUGGUGCUACUGAAUAUGGACCCGCCAUAGAUCUCUGGAGCUGUGGAUGUAUCGUUGCUGAACUAUUUGCUGGAAAGCCUAUUAUGCCGGGAAGAACAGAGGUGGAACAAAUGCACAAAAUUUUUAAGCUCUGUGGUUCACCGUCCGAGGAGUUCUGGCGGAGAACAAAGUUGCCACUUUCAACCAGCUUCAAACCUCAACACCGUUAUAAAAGCUGCAUUUCUGAAACAUUCAAAAGUUUCCCUCCUCCAGCUCUGGCUCUUGUUAAUAAACUACUUGCUAUUGAACCAGAGCACAGAGGAUCCGCUGCCGAAGUUCUCAGAAGUGAGUUUUUCAGAACAGAACCUCUCCCUUGUGACCCUUCAAGCUUACCAAAAUAUCCUCCAAGCAAGGAAUUCGAUGCCAAGCUCCGGAAUGAAGAAGAAAGAAAGAGAAAAGCAGAAGCUGUGAAGGGACAUCAUCCCGAAUCAGUAAGAAGGGGCUUGAGAGACACCAAGGCUGCUCCGACUCCCGAGUUCAACACUCAAGGAGACUAUACGAUUAAGGUACACCCGAUUGCUAAAAAGAUGAGUAUGAAAUACAACCCUCAAGAGGACGGUGAGCCUCCUAGAGUUGCUCAGAGUCGGUACACCCACUCAACAUCUAUGGUGCACCCGACUAUUGCAAGUUCAUGGUGUAAGCCCACCGGGGCAUCAAGAAAUUGUGCAGAUUUGAGGACACAGAAAUCUCAGAUGCAUCAGACAGUGGGCGAUUCGGCAACCUCUUCGCUUACGAAGGACUCUAAAGAUUCUGGAAUGGGAUAUGUGCAAAAGAAGAACAGAAUACAUUACUCGGGACCGUUAGUGCCUGCAGGAGGAAGCAUUAUUGAAGACAUGCUGAAAGAGCAUGAGAGACAAAUCCAGCAGGCUUUUAGAAAGGCGAAGACGAAUAAGAGUUAUGAUGAGCUUUAAAAGAAUCCAAGCAAGUUUGGUAGAGCAUCAUCAAAGGUAGAAGAAGGCUGUGGUCUCUCAAACUAUGGUCUCUACGUGGACUAACUAAAUUUCGAUAGAAUUAUUAGAAACCUGUUGGGGUUGGCUCAAAGAGAUCAAAACCACAAAGAAAAGAACAUGCUCUUCAAUUCGACUUCCCAGUUACAUCCUUAUCAACACUGUAAAACGAUCUAAUGCUUCUAGAAACCAACACUGCUCUCAUUUUUGGAUGGCCGACUAAAUCUCAGUGAAUUUUAAUGGGUCUGUGCAGUAAACUCAAGAGUAUCAACAAUGGGGGCCCUAUAAACUGAGGCCUCUUACGGCUGUCAUGAGGAACUUGGGCUGGGCGGAAAAAUGGCGAAGAAGAAGCAGUUGGCAUCUUCAGCUCCAUGGCGGGGGG